UACGGAGGGUGCAAGCGUUAUCCGGAUUCACUGGGUUUAAAGGGUGCGUAGGUGGGAAUGUAGGUCAGUGGUGAAAUCUCCGUGCUUAACAUGGAAACUGCCAUUGAUACUAUGUUUCUUGAAUCUUCCGGAGGUCAGCGGAAUAUGUCAUGUAGCGGUGAAAUGCUUAGAUAUGACAUAGAACACCAAUUGCGAAGGCAGCUGACUACAGGGGCAUUGACACUGAGGCACGAAAGCGUGGGGAUCAAACAGG
rnacentral:rRNA from 1 species